rnacentral:rRNA from 1 species
AACGUAGGUGGCGAGCGUUAUCCGGAUUUACUGGGCGUAAAGCGUGUGCAGGCGGGGGGACCAGUGGGGUUUGAAAUUUCCCGGCUUAACCGGGAAGGGUUAUGCCAGACUGUCUUUCUGGAGUGCGAGAGAGGGGCGUGGAAUUCCGGUGGAGCGGUGAAAUGCAUUGAGAUCGGAAAGAACACCAACGGCGAAAGCACUCUGCUGGGCCGACACUGACACUGAGAGACGAAAGCUAGGGGAGCAAAUGGG